AGAUUUUCGAAUCCAUGCAGAGAUUUCAUCAAACACCAACCCAUUAGGGCUGAUCAGACUUUCAGGAUAAAUAAAGUU
rfam:Schistosoma rodhaini strain Burundi genome assembly, scaffold: SROB_scaffold0002861